rnacentral:misc_RNA from 1 species
GAUGAAGAACGUAGCGAAAUGCGAUAAGUAAUGUGAAUUGCAGAAUUCAGUGAAUCAUCGAAUCUUUGAACGCACAUUGCGCCCGCCAGUAUUCUGGCGGGCAUGCCUGUUCGAGCGUCAUUUCAACCAUCAAGCCCCAGGCUUGUGUUGGGGACCUGCGGCUGCCGCAGGCCCUGAAAACCAGUGGCGGGCUCGCUGUCACACCGGGCGUAGUAGAUUUUAUCUCGCUCAGGGCGUGCUGCGGGUUCCGGCCGUUAAAAAGCCUUUUUUACCCAAGGUUGACAUCGGAUCAGGUAGGAAGACCCGCUGAACUUAAGCAUAUCAAUAAGCGGAGGA